AUGAACGCUGGCGGCGUGCCUAAUACAUGCAAGUCGAGCGAACAGAUGAGGAGCUUGCUCCUCUGACGUUAGCGGCGGACGGGUGAGUAACACGUGGAUAACCUACCUAUAAGACUGGGAUAACUUCGGGAAUCCGGAGCUAAUACCGGAUAAUAUAUUGAACCGCAUGGUUCAAUAGUGAAAGACGGUUUUGCUGUCACUUAUAGAUGGAUCCGCGCCGCAUUAGCUAGUUGGUAAGGUAACGGCUUACCAAGGCAACGAUGCGUAGCCGACCUGAGAGGGUGAUCGGCCACACUGGAACUGAGACACGGUCCAGACUCCUACGGGAGGCAGCAGUAGGGAAUCUUCCGCAAUGGGCGAAAGCCUGACGGAGCAACGCCGCGUGAGUGAUGAAGGUCUUCGGAUCGUAAAACUCUGUUAUUAGGGAAGAACAAAUGUGUAAGUAACUAUGCACGUCUUGACGGUACCUAAUCAGAAAGCCACGGCUAACUACGUG
rnacentral:rRNA from 1 species